UAAAAAUUACACCACUCCAGACCCUUUUGUUUUCCACAUAAUUAAUAUUGCCAAUAAUUAACAAGUUCCGGGUCGAAUCCGAUACCGAUACAAAAACUAUAUUCACCUGUUACCAAUUAUCUAAUCUGUACGUUCCACAUCUGACAGGCGCACCACCAAACGGUGUAUUUAGGAUUUUGCUAUAUACACGAGUCAUAAUCACAGGG
rnacentral:lncRNA from 1 species